rnacentral:rRNA from 1 species
GAGUUUGAUCCUGGCUCAGGAUGAACGCUAGCGGCAGGCUUAACACAUGCAAGUCGAACGGUAACAGAAAAAGCUUGCUUUUUGCUGACGAGUGGCGAACGGGUGCGUAACGCGUAUGCAACCUACCUUCUCCUAAGGAAUAGCCCAGAGAAAUUUGGAUUAAUACCUUAUGAUAAUAUUUAUUCGCAUGUUUAAAUAUUUAAAAUUUCGAUGGAAGAAGAUGGGCAUGCGUAACAUUAGUUUGUUGGUGAGGUAAUGGCUCACCAAGACUACGAUGUUUAGGGGGUCUGAGAGGAUGAUCCCCCACACUGGUACUGAGACACGGACCAGACUCCUACGGGAGGCAGCAGUGAGGAAUAUUGGUCAAUGGACGAAAGUCUGAACCAGCCAUGCCGCGUGAAGGAUGACGGCCCUACGGGUUGUAAACUUCUUUUGUAUAGGAAGAAACCCCUCUACGUGUAGAGGGUUGACGGUACUAUUCGAAUAAGCACCGGCUAACUCCGUGCCAGCAGCCGCGGUAAUACGGAGGGUGCGAGCGUUAUCCGGAAUUAUUGGGUUUAAAGGGUGCGUAGGCGGAAAUUUAAGUCAGUGGUGAAAGCCUGCAGCUUAACUGUAGAAUUGCCAUUGAUACUGAAUUUCUUGAAUCUAAUUGAAGUAGGCGGAAUAUGACAUGUAGCGGUGAAAUGCUUAGAUAUGUCAUAGAACACCGAUAGCGAGGCAGCUUACUAAGUUAGUAUUGACGCUAAUGCACGAAAGCGUGGGGAGCGAACAGGAUUAGAUACCCUGGUAGUCCACGCCGUAAACGAUGAUUACUCGCUAUUGGCGAUACACUGUCAGUGGCUAAGCGAAAGUGAUAAGUAAUCACCUGGGGAGUACGAUCGCAAGGU